rnacentral:rRNA from 1 species
GAUGAACGCUAGCUACAGGCUUAACACAUGCAAGUCGAGGGGCAGCGGGAUUGAAGCUUGCUUCAAUUGCCGGCGACCGGCGCACGGGUGAGUAACGCGUAUCCAACCUUCCGUACACUCAGGGAUAGCCUUUCGAAAGAAAGAUUAAUACCUGAUGGUAUGAUGAGAUUGCAUGAUAUCAUCAUUAAAGAUUUAUCGGUGUACGAUGGGGAUGCGUUCCAUUAGGUAGUAGGCGGGGUAACGGCCCACCUAGCCAACGAUGGAUAGGGGUUCUGAGAGGAAGGUCCCCCACAUUGGAACUGAGACACGGUCCAAACUCCUACGGGAGGCAGCAGUGAGGAAUAUUGGUCAAUGGACGAGAGUCUGAACCAGCCAAGUAGCGUGAAGGAUGAAGGUCCUACGGAUUGUAAACUUCUUUUAUAAGGGAAUAAACCCUCCCACGUGUGGGAGCUUGCAUGUACCUUAUGAAUAAGCAUCGGCUAACUCCGUG